UAGGGAAUCUUCCACAAUGGACGCAAGUCUGAUGGAGCAACGCCGCGUGAGUGAAGAAGGUCUUCGGAUCGUAAAACUCUGUUGUUAGAGAAGAACACGAGUGAGACGUAACUGUUCAUUCGAUGACGGUAUCUAACCAGCAAGUCACGGCUAACUACGUGCCAG
rnacentral:rRNA from 1 species